rnacentral:rRNA from 1 species
UAAUACGUAGGGAGCAAGCGUUGUCCGGAAUCAUUGGGCGUAAAGCGCGCGUAGGCGGCCUCGUAAGUCCGCUGUAAAAGUCACAGGCUCAACCUGUGAACGCCGGUGGAUACUGCGAGGCUAGAGUCCGGAAGAGGCGAGUGGAACUCCUGGUGUAGCGGUGGAAUGCGCAGAUAUCAGGAAGAACACCAACGGCGAAGGCAGCUCGCUGGGACGGUACUGACGCUGAGGCGCGAAAGCGUGGGGAGCGAACAGGAUUAGAUACCCUGGUAGUCCACGCCGUAAACGAUGGGCACUAGGUGUGGGAGGUGUCGACUCCUCCCGUGCCGGCGCUAACGCAUUAAGUGCCCCGCCUGGGGAGUACGGCCGCAAGGCUA